CAAUAAUGACAAAAUAAUUUAUAAUCUGAGUAAAAUAAUAAUUUAUAUUUAAAAUUAGUAUCAAUUGUAAUAUUGCUGUGAAUCGUUUGACAGGAAUAACGAUUUAUUUCCGUGUUAUUUAUUUUAGAAAAUCGAUCGACAAAAUAAAAAUAUUAAUAAAUAUCAUGAAAAUAAAUAAUUUUUGUUGUAAAUUUUGUUAUCAUAACUUUUAUCACAAGUUCACCGACAAAAAAGGGGGGACGUGAAUAUAAAAGAGUAAGAGAUAAAAUGCAAACUCAGUGCAUCUAAAAGUUUGUUUACUAAUUAGAAGUAAAAAAAAAAAAAAAAUGAUAUGCGAAAUAUUUAUCAUUCUUGUGAGUUCCGCGAUCGUAAAUGCAAAUUCUGUAGGAAUCCAAAACAGUACUAAUGAAUCCGUGGUAUCUCCAAGUCUCAAUAUUUUGGGAAUUGAAUUAAGAGAAAUUUCACUGGAACGCUGGACAGCAGGAAAAAAUUACCGUCAAAUUCAUAUGUUUCAUAAACAUUUUACAAGAGUUAACAGACGGAGAAAGAUAGUUAGAAAGUCGCUGGUACCUGAACCUAUAGUAAAAUCAUUAUUAGGAUAAAUAUCUAAGGGCUCGACUGGAUGUAUAAUUACUCAUGUAAAAUUAAAUUGUAUUUAAAAUAAACAAAUACGCUUACGUAAUUAUUUGUAGUUCGAUUAUUAUUGUAAGAUCUAUUUACAAAAUAAUAUAUAACCACGUUACAUUUUUCAAAUCAUAAAUUUGUGAGCGCACUUAAUUUAACAAGUGAAAUAUUAAAUUUUUUUCAAAUUCUGACAUUUUAAUUUAAAAUAAUUUUUUUUUAAAUUCUAAACUGUCGGCUUAUCUUGCGGUUGAGACACUACUCCUUGUUACUAAAUUUAAUUAUUUAAUGAAUGAGAAUUUUUUCAAAUUAAAAAAAAAAUGAGACAAAAAUUGUUUUUUUCAUCAUAAAAAUUGAUUAUUCUAAAUAUGUAAUACACCAGUGUCUGACAAUAAGUAUUAAAUAAAAAUUACAAAAUAUAUAUAGUAAUAAAUGAGUAAAGAGAAAAUAAAAAAAAGGUUGACAUUAAAAUUACAUAUGUAUAAUUUUUAAUAUCAGUAACUAUUUAAAAAAAAAUUAUAAACUAUUUUUUUU